rnacentral:lncRNA from 1 species
CCGCGGCACGGCCCCGCCCCGCAGGCCCGGUAACGGCGGCUUCCUGCCGGGGGGCCGGGCGUUGGGGCUCCUCCUAAAAAUGCCGCUGUGUGAAGGCCGAGGAGGCGGUGAGCAGGUGCUGAUGAAAAAUGAAAGCUAUUUGCCGAUCGUGAAAAAUAAAGAUCAGAGGAAGAGGCUUGUCCAUGAAAUCUGCUCCUUUUUAGACAGCAGUCAGUCCCUGCAGGAAAUCGAUGCUUUGAGGACAGAAAAUAGGAAGCUUAAAAAUGCGAACUCAAGGCUGCGAUAUAAAACAAAAGAUUGGGCGAUAAGGAGAGAAGAAUAUAAAAAUGAGAUCGAGAGACUUUCUGGCGAGAUCUCCAACUACUUAAAUGUCACCAACUUCUGGGAUGAAGAGUCCGAGCAUCUUAACGGCCCAGCACUCAGACAGAGGGCGCCUGCGGAGCGGAGGAAAGGUAAGGGCUGCGAAAGAGGUGCUGGUGCGGGGCUGCCGUGGCGUUGUCCUGGCCCUACAAAACUCAGAAUCUUCUUGGUCGUAACCCCUACAUCUCUUGGGACGUUGCUGAGGUGCAGCAACGGGGAAAGCGGAGGAUGUAACGUCUCACCUGCCCUUAAAACCGCUAGGUCCUGUAGUGAAAUCUCUGUCUUGCCAAAGGGAGAGGUCUGGAAAAAAGGAACCUGCUCCUGA